GUCCAUGGUCAUUUUACCCUGAAUGUGUCUGAUAUGGGAAGCUAAGCAGGGUCAGGUCUGCUUAGUACUUCGAUGGGAAACCAUAUAUGCAAUCCACUCCUGUGCCUC
rnacentral:rRNA from 1 species